AACGAACGCUGGCGGCAUACCUAACACAUGCAAGUCGAACGAGACCUUCGGGUCUAGUGGCGCACGGGUGCGUAACGCGUGGGAACCUGCCCUUAGGUUCGGAAUAACUCCCCGAAAGGGGUGCUAAUACCGGAUAAUGUCUGCGGACCAAAGAUUUAUCGCCUUUGGAUGGGCCCGCGUUGGAUUAGCUAGUUGGUAGGGUAAAAGCCUACCAAGGCGACGAUCCAUAGCUGGUCUGAGAGGAUGAUCAGCCACACUGGGACUGAGACACGGCCCAGACUCCUACGGGAGGCAGCAGUGGGGAAUAUUGGACAAUGGGCGAAAGCCUGAUCCAGCAAUGCCGCGUGAGUGAUGAAGGCCUUAGGGUUGUAAAGCUCUUUUACCCGGGAUGAUAAUGACAGUACCGGGAGAAUAAGCUCCGGCUAACUCCGUG
rnacentral:rRNA from 1 species